AUCGAAAAGGAGCGAGAUAUGGAUAGAAAGAAGAUUGAAGAAUUAAUGGAAGAAAAUAUGACUCUGGAAAUGGCACAGAAACAAAGUAUGGAUGAGUCAUUGCACCUUGGCUGGGAGCUGGAACAGAUAUCCAGAACUAGUGAACUUGCUGAAGCACCACAGAAGUCCUUGGGCCAUGAGGUAAAUGAAUUAACAUCAAGUAAGUUAUUGAAGUUGGAAAUGGAAAACCAGAGUUUGACGAAAACUGUAGAAGAGCUACGGAGUACUAUGGACUCUGCAGAAGGCAGCACUUCCAAAAUCCUCAAAGUUGAAAAGGAAAACCAGAGACUGAGUAAAAAGGUUGAAAUUCUUGAAAAUGAAAUUAUUCAAGAAAAGCAAAGUCUUCAGAAUUGUCAAAAUUUAAGCAAAGAUCUAAUGAAAGAGAAAGCUCAACUUGAAAAAACAAUUGAAACACUCAGAGAAAAUUCAGAGAGGCAGAUUAAAAUAUUGGAGCAGGAAAAUGAACAUCUCAAUCAAACAGUGUCUUCCUUACGGCAGCGUUCCCAGAUUAGUGCUGAGGCGAGAGUGAAGGAUAUUGAAAAAGAAAAUAAAAUUCUCCAUGAAUCUAUCAAAGAAACAAGUGGAAAACUAAGCAAGAUUGAAUUUGAAAAAAGACAAAUGAAAAAGGAAUUAGAGCUUUAUAAAGAGAAAGGAGAGCGAGCAGAAGAACUUGAAAACGAGUUGAAUCGUCUUGGAAAGGAGAAUGAAUUGUUGCAGAAAAAGAUAACUAAUUUAAAGAUUACAUGCGAAAAACUUGAGACAUUAGAACAGGAAAAUUCAGAGCUAGAAAGAGAAAAUAGGAAAUUUAAAAAAACUUUGGAUAGCUUUAAAAACCUUACUUUUCAGUUGGAAUCUCUAGAAAAAGAGAAUUCCCAACUUGACGAAGAAAACUUAGAGCUGCGAAGGAGCGUGGAGUCUUUGAAGUGUGCGAGCAUGAAGAUGGCCCAGCUCCAACUGGAGAACAAGGAGCUGGAGAGUGAGAAGGAGCAGCUCAAGAAGGGCUUGGAGCUCAUGAAAGCCUCUUUCAAGAAGACAGAACGCUUAGAAGUUAGCUACCAGGGACUAGACACAGAAAAUCAAAGACUACAAAAAGCUCUAGAAAAUAGCAAUAAAAAAAUCCAACAAUUAGAGAGUGAGCUACAAGACUUAGAGAUGGAAAAUCAAACAUUACAAAAAAACCUAGAAGAACUGAAAAUCUCUAGCAAAAGACUGGAACAACUAGAAAAAGAAAAUAAGUCAUUAGAGCAAGAGACAUCUCAACUUGAAAAGGACAAGAAACAGUUAGAGAAGGAAAACAAACGACUCCGACAACAAGCAGAAAUAAAAGACACCACCUUAGAAGAAAAUAA
rnacentral:lncRNA from 1 species